CGCAUCUGUGCAUGCAGCAUAUCAAUAAGCGGAGGAAAAGGAAACUAACAAGGAUUCCCCUAGUAACGGCGAGUGAAGCGGGAAGAGCUCAAAUUUGGAAAUCUUAAAGGGUUUCCCUUUACGAAUUGUAGUUUAAAGAAGUGUUUUCUGUUGAGGUUUUGGUAAAAGUUCUUUGGAAUAGGACAUCAUAGGAGGGUGAGAAUCCCGUAUUUGACCUUUACUUUCAACUUUGUGAUACACUUUCAAAGAGUCGGAUUGUUUGGGAAUGCAGUCCAAAAUGGGUGGUAAAUUUCAUCUAAAGCUAAAUAUUGGCGAGAGACCGAUAGCGAACAAGUACCGUGAGGGAAAGAUGAAAAGAACUUCGAAAAGAGAGUUAAACAGUACGUGAAAUUGUCAAAAGGGAAGCGUUUGACACCAGUGUUGUUUUUUCUGAAAAUCAAUUAAAGAACUGUUUAUGCUAAGUUGUUUAGACUUUAUCAGCUAACUGUUUAGUUUUGAGCUUUUCUUUAAUGCACUUUUCAGUUAACAAGUCAACAUCAAUUUCUUUUGCUGUAAAAAAGCUUGAGGAAGGUGGCCUGAGAUUCGUCUUAAGUGUCUAUAGCCUCUUGCCUAUGCAGUCGGAGAGAUUGAGGUCUGCAGCGUAGAUCCUUCGGGGCUAAAUGCAUUUGUGCUAAGUUAUAACAUUUUAUAGACAACUUGUUGACUAUGAUUUGUCUUGUAGCUUACUCGCUUAUGUUAUUUUACCUACGCUUAGGAUGUUGACAGCAGUAUAGACUGU
rnacentral:rRNA from 1 species